CCCUUAGGAUUCUCUCUCUCUCUUUAUCUUUCUCAUCCAGAUCGAAACAGGAGAGGCUAUCAACGAGGCGGCGCCUAGCCACCGGAGAUCUCAGGCCAGAGGCCCGGGAACGGAGGGUUGCAGGAGUACACAGUUUUCUGGCUAGGAGACGGAGCAGCGCCGCCCGCGCCAUCCUCCAUGAGUUUCUCCGCCUUGUCCCGGACUCCGGCUGCCCCCCACGCGCCUCCGCCGUCUGCCGCCGCAGCACCCAACUCCGUCGUCCUUCAUCGUUUAUGCGCCGCUCCGCUCGAAUCCGCUAUCUGUUUGCCGCUGCCGCUCGAAGACGAAGGUAAGGUGGCUACAGUUUUCAAUUAUGGUAUGUAUAUGCUUGUGAUUUGGGAAUUUUGUUUUCUUGGAUUUAGAUCAUUUCACAACGGUUAUUAAGCAGUUUCUCUAUUCUGCCUGAAUCUGUCAAAUCAAUGGAAAAGAAACCCAAGGUCGCACACAGGCGUAAGGGGCAUGGCUCAGAACCACACGGAGCAGGCAGUGACGAGGCGCAACCACACGGAGGGCAGGCCGGCGUGCCGCGUGCAACUCCGUCCGAAUCCGAUAAGUGGACAUCCUCGGAUCGGCCCCUCGCCUCUUUGUAGUCUUCCUUGACUCUCCUCUGUGGAUUAGUUUCUGUCCCAGGUAGUCCGACAGUCCGGCUGUCCAGAUUAAUUUCUGUCCCAGCGGCUAGUGCUCCAUGAUAAAUCGACAAUUCAUAAUUCUAUAGAUUCAGUUCCUCCCGUUGUCCCUGCUGGUUGCGCUUGUACCUGUGGAUGCAUUUGGAGAUGAUAAGGAUGUUCGUCUCUACUUUGUUGCUGCAAUGUCAACUCUACAAGAAGUAAUGGAGAAGUUGAAAGAAGCAGCGACCAGAUGCGGUUUAACGAAGGCAGUUUCGAUCACAGACAUUUUCACCAGCAAUACCAUGUUAUAUUAAAUGGUGGUUAUUGAAAGUAGUUAAACAUGUCAUUGUUGUAUACUAGAAGAGAAAGGCUCCUGGUUUCUUAGUGGAACUUUUGCACCUAUUCAGAUUGUGUGUUAUACACUUGGUCAAAGUGUUUUUUUUAUUUGAGCAUCUCUCUGAAUUUCACCA